rnacentral:rRNA from 1 species
CCUGCGGAAGGAUCAUUACAGAGUUUAUGCCCUCACGGGUAGACCUCCCACCCUUGUGUAUUAAUACCAUGUUGCUUUGGCGGGCCGUCAGGCUUCGGUCAGGCCUCCGGCUCAGGCUGGGGAGCGCCCGCCAGAGGACCCCAAAACUCUGAAUGUUAGUGUCGUCUGAGUACUAUAUAAUAGUUAAAACUUUCAACAACGGAUCUCUUGGUUCUGGCAUCGAUGAAGAACGCAGCGAAAUGCGAUAAGUAAUGUGAAUUGCAGAAUUCAGUGAAUCAUCGAAUCUUUGAACGCACAUUGCGCCCCUUGGUAUUCCGGGGGGCAUGCCUGUUCGAGCGUCAUUUCAACCCUCAAGCACAGCUUGGUGUUGGGCCCUGCCAGCGAUGGCAGGCCCUAAAAUUAGUGGCGGUGCCGCUGAGCCCUGAGCGUAGUAAUCUCCUCGCUACAGGGCCUCUGCGUGCUUUCGCCAGAACCCCCAAUUUUCUAUGGGUUGACCUCGGAUCAGGUAGGGAUACCCGCUGAACUUAA